AUUGAACGCUGGCGGCAGGCCUAACACAUGCAAGUCGAGCGGAUGAGGGGAGCUUGCUCCCUGAUUUAGCGGCGGACGGGUGAGUAAUGCCUAGGAAUCUGCCUGGUAGUGGGGGAUAACGUUCCGAAAGGAACGCUAAUACCGCAUACGUCCUACGGGAGAAAGCAGGGGACCUUCGGGCCUUGCGCUAUCAGAUGAGCCUAGGUCGGAUUAGCUAGUUGGUGAGGUAAUGGCUCACCAAGGCGACGAUCCGUAACUGGUCUGAGAGGAUGAUCAGUCACACUGGAACUGGGACACGGUCCAGCCUCCCACGGGAGGCAGACGGGGGGAAUAUUGGACAAUGGGCGAAAGCCUGAUCCAGCCAUGCCGCGUGUGUGAAGAAGGUCUUCGGAUUUUAAAGCACUUUAAGUUGGGAGGAAGGGCCGCUGGUUAAUACCCUGCAGUUUUGACGUUACCAACAGAAUAAGCCCCGGCUAACUUCG
rnacentral:rRNA from 1 species